AACGUGGAACCUGAAACUAUUGUCUGGUGGGCUGGUGGCUGAUUUUCAUUCAAUUGGGCUGGUACACCUCUGUUUUGACUCCCAUACACCAAGAAUCAAGGGCGCCUGCAUCCGUGGGAGUAAGACUCUCCGGCUUUGAAGGAGGAGACAAAGCCGAAGGGCAGACACAUUGCCUUCUGUUCAUGCUGCUUGAUGUUGAAACACCAACCACUCACCAGUCAUUUACUCUCUCACUUGCUCAUUGGAUCAUGUGCACCACCAUAGUUAGAAACCUUUAUGUCACAGUCAGCGCAAUGCAUUGGGAUUUUUUUUGCUAUGCACAGAAUACGAAGGUUAUAUUAUCUCUCUAUAUUUUGAAUGGGAGUCAUUGAAGCAUAGGCAAGGUACUUGUAUUUGGAUCUGGCAUAAUUACAAUCAUCCUGUCAUCAUCAGUUUCACUCCUCUGGCUGCCCCUUGUGUGUGUGUGUCCACUAAUGCGUUCAGCAUUGCAACUGCUGCUGCCAAAUGCUGAGGCAGCAGUAUACAUAGCUGGUUCAGUUUGUGCAGCAUUCGUUGCCAACAUAGAUGGUCACUCUGAUAAAACUGUCACCUUCAAUGGGAGGAUGCUCAGGUUUUGAGACCGAACCUAUAUGUACCACCAAAACAAUAUCCUAAUUGCAAGGAAGGUGACCUUCCUCUCAUCAUCGCGAUUGACUAGCAACCAAUGGCCCUGAUAGGUGUUAUGCAAGUGUAGGGCGACAUCACUAAUGCUCGGACAAUAG